CAGGCUUAACACAUGCAAGUCGAGGGGCAGCAUGGUCUUAGCUUGCUAAGGCCGAUGGCGACCGGCGCACGGGUGAGUAACACGUAUCCAACCUGCCGUCUACUCUUGGACAGCCUUCUGAAAGGAAGAUUAAUACAAGAUGGCAUCAUGAGUCCGCAUGCUCACAUGAUUAAAGGUAUUCCGGUAGACGAUGGGGAUGCGUUCCAUUAGAUAGUAGGCGGGGUAACGGCCCACCUAGUCUUCGAUGGAUAGGGGUUCUGAGAGGAAGGUCCCCCACAUUGGAACUGAGACACGGUCCAAACUCCUACGGGAGGCAGCAGUGAGGAAUAUUGGUCAAUGGGCGAGAGCCUGAACCAGCCAAGUAGCGUGAAGGAUGACUGCCCUAUGGGUUGUAAACUUCUUUUAUAAAGGAAUAAAGUCGGGUAUGCAUACCCGUUUGCAUGUACUUUAUGAAUAAGGAUCGGCUAACUCCGUGCCAGCAGCCGCGGUAAUACGGAGGAUCCGAGCGUUAUCCGGAUUUAUUGGGUUUAAAGGGAGCGUAGAUGGAUGUUUAAGUCAGUUGUGAAAGUUUGCGGCUCAACCGUAAAAUUGCAGUUGAUACUGGAUAUCUUGAGUGCAGUUGAGGCAGGCGGAAUUCGUGGUGUAGCGGUGAAAUGCUUAGAUAUCACGAAGAACUCCGAUUGCGAAGGCAGCCUGCUAAGCUGCAACUGACAUUGAGGCUCGAAAGUGUGGGUAUCAAACAGGAUUAGAUACCCUGGUAGUCCACACGGUAAACGAUGAAUACUCGCUGUUUGCGAUAUACGGCAAGCGGCCAAGCGAAAGCGUUAAGUAUUCCACCUGGGGAGUACGCCGGCAACGGUGAAACUCAAAGGAAUUGACGGGGGCCCGCACAAGCGGAGGAACAUGUGGUUUAAUUCGAUGAUACGCGAGGAACCUUACCCGGGCUUAAAUUGCAGAUGAAUUACGGUGAAAGCCGUAAGCCGCAAGGCAUCUGUGAAGGUGCUGCAUGGUUGUCGUCAGCUCGUGCCGUGAGGUGUCGGCUUAAGUGCCAUAACGAGCGCAACCCUUGUUGUCAGUUACUAACAGGUUCCGCUGAGGACUCUGACAAGACUGCCAUCGUAAGAUGUGAGGAAGGUGGGGAUGACGUCAAAUCAGCACGGCCCUUACGUCCGGGGCUACACACGUGUUACAAUGGGGGGUACAGAGGGCCGCUACCACGCGAGUGGAUGCCAAUCCCAAAAACCUCUCUCAGUUCGGACUGGAGUCUGCAACCCGACUCCACGAAGCUGGAUUCGCUAGUAAUCGCGCAUCAGCCACGGCGCGGUGAAUACGUUCCCGGGCCUUGUACACACCGCCCGUCAAGCCAUGGGAGCCGGGGGUACCUGAAGUGCGUAACCGCGAGGAGCGCCCUAGGGUAAAACUGGUGACUGGGG
rnacentral:rRNA from 1 species